AAUAAGAUCAUUUUUUAGUUUUUUAUAAUAUUUUGACUCUUCGUCUUGUUUGAAUUUUUUUACGAUUAAUUUUUUUAUUCUUACUAGAUGAUAAAACAUGAAUAAUAUUUUAUGUGUGACUAAUUAUUUUAAUUUUUUUAUAAAUUUUUCAAAUAAGAUGAAUGGUCAACACGGAAAAACGAAAAUGAAGUUAUU
rnacentral:pre_miRNA from 1 species